rnacentral:rRNA from 1 species
UACGAGUGCCUCAAGCGUUAUCCGGAAUCAUUGGGCGUAAAGGAUGUGUAGGUGGUUGUGUUAGUCUUCUGUUAAAUUCUUCGGCUUAACCGGGGGCAUGCAGGGGAAACGGCACGACUAGAGGAUGCGAGGGGUCUGCGGAACUCAUAGUGUAGCGGUGAAAUGCGUUGAUAUUAUGGGGAACACCAAAAGCGAAGGCAGCAGACUGGAGCACUCCUGACACUGAAACAUGAAAGCGUGGGUCGCGAAUGGG